CGCCUCUUGACAAACAUAAGAGGUCCUGCCUGCCCAGUGAUAAAUUCAACGGCCGCGGUACCCUAACCGUGCGAAGGUAGCAUAAUCACUUGUUCUUUAAAUAGGGACUCGUAUCAACGGCAUCACGAGGGUUGCACUGUCUCCCCCCUCUAAUCAGUGAAACUGAUCUCCCCGUGAAAAAGCGGGGAUAAUAUUAUAAGACGAGAAGACCCCAUGGAGCUUUAAACCCAAUAGCAAUUUAGCAAGCAAACCAUGCUAGCGGCUUUAGGUUGGGGCGACCACGGAGUAAAAACUAACCUCCAUAACGAAAAGAUUUAAAUCUUUACCCAAGAGCCACCACUCUAGGAAUUAGUAAACUAACGGACUAUGACCCGAUAACGAUCAAUGAACCAAGUUACCCUGGGGAUAACAGCGCAAUCUACUUCAAGAGCCCAUAUCGACAAGUAGGCUUACGACCUCGAUGUUGGAUCAGGGUAUCCUAGUGGUGCAGCCGCUACUAAAGGUUCGUUUGUUCAACGAUUAAAACCCU
rnacentral:rRNA from 2 species